CAGUGGGAGCACAGAGCAAUCUGUGUGACUGCGUACCUUUUGUAUAAUGGGUCAGCGACUUAUAUUCUGUAGCAAGGUUAACCGAAUAGGGGAGCCGAAGGGAAACCGAGUCUUAACUGGGCGUUAAGUUGCAGGGUAUAGACCCGAAACCCGGUGAUCUAGCCAUGGGCAGGUUGAAGGUUGGGUAACACUAACUGGAGGACCGAACCGACUAAUGUUGAAAAAUUAGCGGAUGACUUGUGGCUGGGGGUGAAAGGCCAAUCAAACCGGGAGAUAGCUGGUUCUCCCCGAAAGCUAUUUAGGUAGCGCCUCGUGAAUUCAUCUCCGGGGGUAGAGCACUGUUUCGGCAAGGGGGUCAUCCCGACUUACCAACCCGAUGCAAACUGCGAAUACCGGAGAAUGUUAUCACGGGAGACACACGGCGGGUGCUAACGUCCGUCGUGAAGAGGGAAACAACCCAGACCGCCAGCUAAGGUCCCAAAGUCAUGGUUAAGUGGGAAACGAUGUGGGAAGGCCCAGACAGCCAGGAUGUUGGCUUAGAAGCAGCCAUCAUUUAAAGAAAGCGUAAUAGCUCACUGGUCGAGUCGGCCUGCGCGGAAGAUGUAACGGGGCUAAACCAUG
rnacentral:rRNA from 1 species